UACGUAGGGCGCAAGCGUUGUCCGGAAUUAUUGGGCGUAAAGAGCUCGUAGGCGGCUUGUCACGUCGGGUGUGAAAGCCCGGGGCUUAACCCCGGGUGUGCAUCCGAUACGGGCAGGCUAGAGUGUGGUAGGGGAGAUCGGAAUUCCUGGUGUAGCGGUGAAAUGCGCAGAUAUCAGGAGGAACACCGGUGGCGAAGGCGGUUCUCUGGGCAUUACCUGACGCUGAGGAGCGAAAGUGUGGGGAGCGAACAGG
rnacentral:rRNA from 1 species